rnacentral:rRNA from 1 species
GACGAACGCUGGCGGCGUGCUUAACACAUGCAAGUCGAACGAAGAGCGAUGGAAGCUUGCUUCUAUCAAUCUUAGUGGCGAACGGGUGAGUAACGCGUAAUCAACCCGCCCUUCAGAGGGGGACAACAGUUGGAAACGACUGCUAAUACCGCAUACGAUCUAAUCUUGGCAUCGAGGAUAGAUGAAAGGUGGCCUCUACAUGUAAGCUAUCACUGAAGGAGGGGAUUGCGUCUGAUUAGCUAGUUGGAGGGGUAACGGCCCACCAAGGCGAUGAUCAGUAGCCGGUCUGAGAGGAUGAACGGCCACAUUGGGACUGAGACACGGCCCAGACUCCUACGGGAGGCAGCAGUGGGGAAUCUUCCGCAAUGGACGAAAGUCUGACGGAGCAACGCCGCGUGAGUGAUGACGGCCUUCGGGUUGUAAAGCUCUGUUAAUCGGGACGAAAGGCCUUCUUGCGAAUAGUGAGAAGGAUUGACGGUACCGGAAUAGAAGCC